UACGUAUGGUGCAAGCGUUAUCCGGAUUUACUGGGCGUAAAGGGAGCGCAGGCGGCGCGCCAAGUCUGAUGUGAGACCCCGGGGCUCAACCCCGGGCAUGCAUUGGAAACUGGCGGGCUGGAGUGCCGGAGAGGUAAGCGGAGUUCCUAGUGUAGCGGUGAAAUGCGUAGAUAUUAGGAGGAACACCAGUGGCGAAGGCGGCUUACUGGACGGCAACUGACGCUGAGGCUCGAAAGCGUGGGGAGCAAACAGG
rnacentral:rRNA from 1 species